rnacentral:rRNA from 1 species
GAUGAACGCUAGCGGCAGGCCUAAUACAUGCAAGUCAAGGGGUAGCAAUACACCGGCGGACGGGUGCGUAACGCGUACACAACAUACCUUUAAGCGGGGGAUAGCAUUGGGAAACUGGUGGUAAUACCCCAUAACAUUGCGAUUUGGCAUUAGAUUGCAAUUAAAGUUUCGGCGCUUAAAGAUUGGUGUGCGUCUGAUUAGCUAGUUGGCGGGGUAACGGCCCACCAAGGCGACGAUCAGUAGGGGGUGUGAGAGCAUGACCCCCCACAUGGUACCGGACGACACGGACCCGAACCUACCUACCGGGAGGGC